rnacentral:rRNA from 1 species
AACGAACGCUGGCGGCGUGCCUAACACAUGCAAGUCGAACGCGAGGCUUACUUCGGUAAGUAGUAGAGUGGCGGACGGGUGCGUAACACGUGGGUAACCUACCCCAAAGACUGGGAUAACUCAGCGAAAGUUGAGCUAAUACUGGAUAAGCUCACACCUUCCUUGGGAGGAGUGAGAGAAGAUGGCCUCUAUAUGUAUGCUAUUGCUUUGGGAUGGGCUCGCGGCCCAUUAGCUAGUUGGUGGGUAAAGGCCUACCAAGGCUACGAUGGGUAGCUGGUCUGAGAGGAUGAUCAGCCACACUGGAACUGAGACACGGUCCAGACUCUACGGGAGGCAGCAGUGGGGAAUAUUGCGCAAUGGGCGAAAGCCUGACGCAGCAAACGCCGCGUGAGUG